UACGUAGGUGGCAAGCGUUGUCCGGAUUUACUGGGCGUAAAGAGCGUGCAGGCGGUCGAUUUAGUCGCGUGUGAAAGCCCCCGGCUCAACUGGGGAGGGUCACGCGAUACUGAUCGACUCGAAGGCAGGAGAGGGUAGUGGAAUUUCCGGUGUAGCGGUGAAAUGCGUAGAGAUCGGAAGGAACACCAGUGGCGAAGGCGGCUACCUGGACAGAUACUGACGCUGAGGCGCGAGAGCGUGGGGAGCAAACAGG
rnacentral:rRNA from 1 species